rnacentral:rRNA from 1 species
GACGAACGCUGGCGGCGUGCUUAACACAUGCAAGUCGAACGGAAAGGCCUCUUUCGGGUGGUACUCGAGUGGCGAACGGGUGAGUAACACGUGAGUAACCUGCCCUUUACUUUUGGAUAACUUCAGGAAACUGGGGCUAAUACCGGAUAUGAGCUCCUGCUGCAUGUUGGGGGGGGUGAAGUUUCGGCGGGUGGGGAGGUGGUCGCGCCUUUUCACCUUGUUUGGGGGGGAUUGGCUUUCCAAGGCUUUGUCGGGUAGCCGGCCCGAGAGGGUGACCGGCCACAUUGGGACUGAGAUAAGGCCCAGACUCCUACGGGAGGGAGGAGUGGGGAAUAUUGCAACAUGGGUGGAAGCCCGAUGCAGCAAAGCCGUGUGGGGGAUGACGGCCUUCGGGUUGUAAACCGCUUUCGCUCAUGACGAAGCUUUGUGUGACGGUAGUGGGUAAAGAAGCACCGGCUAACUACGUG